GACGAACGCUGGCGGCAGGCUUAACACAUGCAAGUCGAACGCAUCCUUCGGGGUGAGUGGCAGACGGGUGAGUAACGCGUGGGAACGUGCCCUUCAGUUCGGGAUAACCCAGGGAAACUUGGGCUAAUACCGGAUACGUGCGAGAGCAGAAAGAUUUAUCGCUGAAGGAUCGGCCCGCGUCUGAUUAGCUAGUUGGUGGGGUAAUGGCCCACCAAGGCGACGAUCAGUAGCUGGUCUGAGAGGAUGAUCAGCCACAUUGGGACUGAGACACGGCCCAAACUCCUACGGGAGGCAGCAGUGGGGAAUAUUGGACAAUGGGCGCAAGCCUGAUCCAGCCAUGCCGCGUGAGUGAUGAAGGCCUUAGGGUUGUAAAGCUCUUUCGUCCGGGACGAUAAUGACGGUACCAGAAGAAGAAGCCCCGGCUAACUUCGUGCCAGCCGCCGCCGUAAGAC
rnacentral:rRNA from 1 species